CCGGUGAGUGAGGACCCGCUCAUGGCGAUCACCUGUCCGCUUGGUGAGAGAUCUUCUGCCUGCUUUGCGAGAAAUAGGAAUGAUGUGAUCCCAUAAUAUUGUGCCGGCUAUCUGUUUGAAUCGAUUCCGUCUCCAGCACAGACACAUCUUAUUUUUCAGUGCACCUUCUCAGACCUGCAAUCUAAUCUGAAAAGGGGUGUAAAGAUGAUGAUUUCAAAAAGCGCCAGACUAGCGAAGGAGAUGGAAAGUUUUACACUCAAUUUUCGGUCUGAUUAGACAGCAAAACAUUACCGAAAAUAUAAUGUCUUCUAUGAAUUAAUUGUAAA